AGUUCGAUCAUGGCUCAGAUUGAACGCUGGCGGGAUGCUUUACACAUGCAAGUCGAACGGCAGCACGGACUUCGGUCUGGUGGCGAGUGGCGAACGGGUGAGUAAUGUAUCGGAACGUGCCUAGUAGCGGGGGAUAACUACGCGAAAGCGUAGCUAAUACCGUAUACGCCCUUCGGGGGAAAGCGGGGACCUUCGGGCCUCAAUUAUUAGAGCGGCCGAUAUCGGAUUAGCUAGUUGGUGGGGUAACGGCUCACCAAGGCGACGAUCCGCAGCUGGCUUGAGAGGACGACCAGCCACACUGGGACUGAGACACGGCCCAGACUCCUACGGGAGGCAGCAGGGAAUUUUGACAAUGGGGAAACCCUGAUCCAGCCAUCCCGCGUGUGCGAUGAAGGCCUUCGGGUUGUAAAGCACUUUUGGCAGGAAGAAACGGCAUCGAUAAUACCCCCGUGCAACUGACGGUACCUGCAGAAUAAGCACUGGCGACCACGUGCCAGCAGCCGCGGUAAUACGUAGGUGCAAGCGUUAAUCGGAAUUACUGGGCGUAAAGCGUGCGCAGGCGGUUCGGAAAGAAAGAUGAAAUCCCAGAGCUUAACUUUGGAACUGCAUUUUUAACUACCGAGCUAGAGUGUGUCGAGGAGGUGGAAUUCCGCGUGUAGCAGUGAAAUGCGUAGAUAUGCGGAGGAACACCGAUGGCGAAGGCAGCCUCCUGGGAUAACACUGACGCUCAUGCACGAAAGCGUGGGGAGCAAACAGAUUAGAUACCCUGGUAGUCCACGCCCUAAACGAUGUCAACUAGCUGUUGGGGCCUUCGGGCCUUGGUAGCGCAGCUAACGCGUGAAGUUGACCGCCUGGGGAGUACGGCUGCAAGAUUAAAACUCAAAGGAAUUGACGGGGACCCGCACAAGCGGUGGAUGAUGUGGAUUAAUCUUUGAUGCAACGCGAAAAACCUUAUCACCUUGACAUGUCUGGAAUCCCGAAGAGACUUGGGAGUGCUCGCAAGAGAACCGGAACACAGGUGCCGCAUGGCUGUCGUCAGCUCGUGUCGUGAGAUGCUGGGUUAAGUCCUGCAACGAGCGCAACCCUUGUCAUUAGUUGCUGCUGAAAGGGCACUCUGGCACGACUGCCGGUGACAAACCGGAGGAAGGUGGGGAUGACGUCAAGUCCUCAGUUUUGCCUUAUGGGUAGGGCUUCACACGUCAUACAAUGGUCGGGACAGAGGGUCGCCAACCCGCGAGGGGGAGCCAAUCCUGAAAACCCGAUCGUAGUCCGGAUCGCAGUCUGCAACUCGACUGCGUGAAGCCUGAAUCGCUAGUAAUCGCGGAUCAGCAUGUCGCGGUGAAUACGUUCCCGGGUCUUGUACACACCGCCCGUCACACCAUGGGAGUGGGUUUUACCAGAAGUAGUUAGCCUAACCGUAAGGAGGGCGAUUACCACGGUAGGAUUCAUGACUGGGGUGAAGUCGUAACAAGGUAACUCAAAGAUUACCUGAUGC
rnacentral:rRNA from 1 species